AUACAUAUUCUAUCUUAUGAAAUGGUCACGUUUUCCAUUGAUUCUGGCUUUGUGCCAGCCAAGGAGACAUUUCCAAAAUGCUAAAUACCACUCCAGUCAGUGGCCAAUACACAAAAUAGGAUUGACAUUCGUGGCAUCUAUAAUUAACUCUGAUUCUUACAGUGACAUCCACUGUUGUGAUAAGCCAAACUACAUUUGAGAUAACUUGCUUUUUAAUCAAACAACACAACAAUGCUUCAAGAAAUUGGAAUUCUUCAGCUUCUCUCAAGCAGAUGCAAGAUAAUGUUGAAGACCUCCAGUGUUCCUUGAAUAAUCAAAACACCAAGAAUGCCUACAAAACCACCAAGGUUGUAGAAGUUGGUGUGCUUGAAAAUGUCAGGUUAAUAGCAAUAUUAAACAUUUCGGAGAACAUCGUCUGCCAUUGGGUUUUUAAAGAGAUCCAAACCAAAUGUAACUCCUCUCUGGAUUUGGAGAACCGGCAUAUCAUUUCAGUGGAGUUCCCAAGAAUCAAAGAAACCCAAGAGGGAAAUCACACACUGUUAAUUACAACUGAAACCAGUAACUACACUAUAGUAUUUACGUUGUAUAUAAGGA